AAAGAUUAAGCCAUGCAUGUCUAAGUAUAAGCAAUUAUACAGCGAAACUGCGAAUGGCUCAUUAAAUCAGUUAUCGUUUAUUUGAUAGUACCUUACUACAUGGAUAACCGUGGUAAUUCUAGAGCUAAUACAUGCUGAAAACCCCGACUUCGGAAGGGGUGUAUUUAUUAGAUUAAAAACCAAUGCCCUUCGGGGCUCACUGGUGAUUCAUGAUAACUUCUCGAAUCGCACGGCCUUGCGCCGGCGAUGGUUCAUUCAAAUUUCUGCCCUAUCAACUUUCGACGGCUGGGUCUUGGCCAGCCGUGGUGACAACGGGUAACGGAGGGUUAGGGCUCGACCCCGGAGAAAACGCCUGAGAAACGGCGUUUACAUCCAAGGAAGGCAGCAGGCGCGCAAAUUACCCAAUGCCGACACGGCGAGGUAGUGACGAGAAAUACUGAUACAGGGCUCUUUUGGGUCUUGUAAUUGGAAUGAGUACAAUUUAAAUCUCUUAACGAGGAACAAUUGGAGGGCAAGUCUGGUGCCAGCAGCCGCGGUAAUUCCAGCUCCAAUAGCGUAUAUUAAAGUUGUUGCAGUUAAAAAGCUCGUAGUUGAACCUUGGGCCUGGCUGGCCGGUCCGCCUCACCGCGUGCACUGGUCCGGCCGGGCCUUUCCCUCUGGGGAGCCCCAUGCCCUUUACUGGGCGUGGCGGGGAACCAGGACUUUUACUUUGAAAAAAUUAGAGUGUUCAAAGCAGGCCUAUGCUCGAAUACAUUAGCAUGGAAUAAUAGAAUAGGACGUGUGGUUCUAUUUUGUUGGUUUCUAGGACCGCCGUAAUGAUUAAUAGGGACAGUCGGGGGCGUCAGUAUUCAAUUGUCAGAGGUGAAAUUCUUGGAUUUAUUGAAGACUAACUACUGCGAAAGCAUUCGUCAAGGAUGUUUUCAUUAAUCAGGAACGAAAGUUAGGGGAUCGAAAACGAUCAGAUACCGUUGUAGUCUUAACCAUAAACUAUGCCGACUAGGGAUCGGGCGGUGUUAUUUUUUGACCCGCUCGGCACCUUACACGAAAGUACAAGUUUCUGGGUUCUGGGGGGAG
rnacentral:rRNA from 1 species